rnacentral:tRNA from 1 species
GGGGAUAUAGCUCAGUGUCAAAGCAUGUACCUAGCAAGUGCAAGGUCCUGAGUUCAAUUCCCAGUACCA